rnacentral:rRNA from 1 species
AGUGAACGCUGGCGGUAGGCCUAACACAUGCAAGUCGGACGGCAGCACAGUAAGAGCUUGCUCUUACGGGUGGCGAGUGGCGGACGGGUGAGGAAUACAUCGGAAUCUACUUUUUCGUGGGGGAUAACGUAGGGAAACUUACGCUAAUACCGCAUACGACCUACGGGUGAAAGCAGGGGAUCUUCGGACCUUGCGCGAUUGAAUGAGCCGAUGUCGGAUUAGCUAGUUGGCGGGGUAAAGGCCCACCAAGGCGACGAUCCGUAGCUGGUCUGAGAGGAUGAUCAGCCACACUGGAACUGAGACACGGUCCAGACCCCUACGGGAGGCAGCAGUGGGGAAUAUUGGACAAUGGGCGCAAGCCUGAUCCAGCCAUACCGCGUGGGUGAAGAAGGCCUUCGGGUUGUAAAGCCCUUUUGUUGGGAAAGAAAAGCAGCAGGUUAAUACCCCGCUGUUCUGACGGUACCCAAAGAAUAAGCACCGGCUAACUUCGUG